AAGGUAUGCUUAAAGAAGGGCUUGCGCCACAUUAGUUAGUUGGUAGGGUAAAAGCCUACCAAGACUAUGAUGUGUAGCUGGACUGAGAGGUUGAACAGCCACAUUGGGACUGAGACACGGCCCAAACUCCUACGGGAGGCAGCAGUAGGGAAUUUUCGGCAAUGGAGGAAACUCUGACCGAGCAACGCCGCGUGAACGAAGAAGUAUUUAGGUAUGUAAAGUUCUUUUAUUGAAGAAGAAAAAAUAGUGGAAAAACUAUCUUGACGCUAUUCAAUGAAUAAGCCCCGGCUAACUAUGUGCCAGCAGCCGCGGUAAGACAUAGGGGGCGAGCGUUAUCCGGAAUUAUUGGGCGUAAAGGGUGCGUAGGCGGUUAGAUAAGUCUAUAAUUUAAUUUCAGUGCUUAACGCUGUUCUGUUAUAGAAACUGUCUAGCUAGAGUGAGAUAGAGGCAAGUGGAAUUCCAUGUGUAGCGGUAAAAUGUGUAAAUAUAUGGAGGAACACCAGAAGCGUAGGCGGCUUGCUGGGUCUUUACUGACGCUGAGGCACGAAAGCGUGGGUAGCAAACAGGAUUAGAUACCCUGGUAGUCCACGCCGUAAACGAUGAGUACUAAGUGUCGGGGUUAAACUCGGUACUGAAGUUAACACAUUAAGUACUCCGCCUGAGUAGUACGUACGCAAGUAUGAAACUUAAAGGAAUUGACGGGACUCCGCACAAGCGGUGGAUCAUGUUGUUUAAUUCGAAGAUACACGAAAAACCUUACCAGGUCUUGACAUACUCUGCAAAGCUAUAGAAAUAUAGUGGAGGUUAUCAGGGAUACAGGUGGUGCAUGGUUGUCGUCAGCUCGUGUCGUGAGAUGUUAGGUUAAGUCCUAAAACGAGCGCAACCCUUGUCGUUAAUUGCCAGCACGUUAUGGUGGGGACUUUAGCGAGACUGCCAAUUAAAAAUUGGAGGAAGGUGAGGAUUACGUCAAAUCAUCAUGCCCCUUAUGAUCUGGGCUACAAACGUGAUACAAUGGCUGUUACAAAGAGUAGCUGAAAUGCGAGUUUUUAGCCAAUCUCAAAAAAGCAGUCUCAGUUCGGAUUGAAGUCUGCAACUCGACUUCAUGAAGUUGGAAUCGCUAGUAAUCGCGAAUCAGCAUGUCGCGGUGAAUACGUUCUCGGGGUUUGUACACACCGCCCGUCAAACCACGAAAGUUGAUAAUACCCGAAAGCAGUGGCUUAACUUUGUAAAAAGAGGGAACUGUCUAAGGUAGGGUCGAUGAUUGGGGUUAAGUCGUAACAAGGUAUCCCUACCGGAAGGUGGGGAUGGAUCACCUCCUUUCUAAGGAAAAAAAUCAUCUUCAGUUUUGAAAAACUUAGGUUGAAAAAAAAUUAAGUUUUUCUUUUUUAGGUUCUCCAUCAUUUUUAAAAUGAGCCUAUAGCUCAG
rnacentral:rRNA from 1 species